rnacentral:rRNA from 1 species
AACGUAGGAGACGAACGUUAUCCGGAGUUACUGGGCGUAAAGGGCGUGUAGGCGGUCUGAUAAGUUCGGCGUGAAAUUUCCCGGCUUAACCGGGGGAUGUCGUCGGAGACUGUCGGACUAGAGGGUGAUAGGGGCGUGUGGAAUCCCGGGUGUAGUGGUGAAAUGCGUAGAUAUCCGGAGGAACACCGGUGGCGAAGGCGGCUUCCUGGACCGACACUGACGCUGAGGCGCGAAAGCUAGGGGAGCAAACGGG